rnacentral:rRNA from 1 species
GGUGUUGCAUGGCUGUCGUCAGCUCGUGUCGUGAGAUGUUGGGUUAAGUCCCGCAACGAGCGCAACCCUCAUCCUUAGUUACCAUCAGGUAAUGCUGGGGACUUUAAGGAAACUGCCAGUGAUAAACUGGAGGAAGGUGGGGAUGAUGUCAAGUCAUCAUGGCCCUUAUGGAGUGGGCUACACACGUGCUACAAUGGUGGCUACAAUGGGCUGCAAAGUCGCGAGGCUAAGCUGAUCCCUUAAAAGCCAUCUCAGUUCGGAUUGUACUCUGCAACUCGAGUGCAUGAAGUUGGAAUCGCUAGUAAUCGUGGAUCAGCACGCCACGGUGAAUACGUUCCCGGGUCUUGUACACAC